rnacentral:rRNA from 1 species
AUUGAACGCUGGCGGCAUGAUUUACACAUGCAAGUCGAACGGUAACAGGCCGCAAGGUGCUGACGAGUGGCGCACGGGUGAGUAAUGCAUCGGAACGUGCCCAGUCGUGGGGGAUAACUACUCGAAAGAGUAGCUAAUACCGCAUACGAUCUAUGGAUGAAAGCGGGGGACCGUAAGGCCUCGCGCGAUUGGAGCGGCCGAUGUCAGAUUAGGUUGUUGGUGGGGUAAAGGCUCACCAAGCCAACGAUCUGUAGCUGGUCUGAGAGGACGACCAGCCACACUGGGACUGAGACACGGCCCAGACUCCUACGGGAGGCAGCAGUGGGGAAUUUUGGACAAUGGGCGCAAGCCUGAUCCAGCAAUGCCGCGUGCAGGAAGAAGGCCUUCGGGUUGUAAACUGCUUUUGUACGGAACGAAACGGCUCUGGUUAAUACCCGGGGCUAAUGACGGUACCGUAAGAAUAAGCACCGGCUAACUACGUG